rnacentral:lncRNA from 1 species
UCUUGCAGCCCAGCCAGACCCAAACAUGUGGAGCUAAACUUGAAAACCCCGAAGAAUCCUGACGGUCUGGGAAAUGAGCACAAUCCGUUUAGUCAGCCAGUUCAUAAGGGUAACACAGCCAACAAAAUCUCCUUGUUUGAAAACAAGCGGGCUAGCAGUAGCCCCAGACACCCCGACGUCCGUAACACAAGGAACAAUCCUCCCUCCAAUAAGACGUUUGUCGGGAGGGCUAAGCUGAACUUAGCCAAAAAGGCCAAAGAAAUGGAGCAACCCGAAA